GCUAGCCCAGUCCAUCUGCUGUUGGGGUGGCCCACAGAUUCGUGCUAAUGAUGAGACGUCCAAGAAUUUAGAAAACUGUCGAUAUUGGGGCAUCGGAUGCUGUUGGCUUUAUGACGUAGAGUGCACUCAGAUCCUCUCUAUAUAAGACCAUGGAAGUCUGUAGUUUUAUACAGCAGUUGGGUGAACUUCCAGCUUCCCUUCAAAGCUCCUGCUCCACGCCGUUGGAGCCUUUGAAGUUGGCUGUAAGGUUGAAACUGGGCCCCGCUGGACUAGACCCAGGUCUUUUCCAGCGCAGGCUCCUCAAGGGUCAUGGGUUACUCCCAGAUAGGGCAGUUAGUAGUGGGCUGUCAACGGGUUCGGAGGUCCGUCAGUGUUUCUGGCCUAGCCCGCUAUCUGGCUGGGCUUUGCCUGGAAGGACCGAAGGCCAGGGUGGGUGUAAAAGCUAACAAGACAGGGCUCAAGCUUUCUACAGGAGCUCAUCGGCUGGGUCUGGCCCAUCUAGGAUUUCAAGGGCAUUUUUGUCAUAUAUGAUGCAUGGUGGGAGAUCUUCUAUGAUAAUCAUCAUAGCCUAGGUUCGGGCGUUUUUUAUUUUUUUUUAGGCCGAUUAUGUAGUCAGGCCAGGCACAGGCCUAAGUUUUACUUUGUGAGCUGGGCAUGGACAAUCUAAGGUCUGUCAAAGCAUGGCCCACAGAGUAAAACCUAUGCCCAGGCCCAGGCCCAUGUCAUCCCCAUUGCAGGCCAAAACAAACAGGCCUGACCCAUAAUGAUUAUCCAUGAACCGAGACUGACUCCGGCCUGAGCCCGAGCCCAGCCAUUCACUUCUGUGGAAGAUCUGGGCUGUUCAUUAGGUGUACCUAAUCAUGGAUGAUAUUGAAAAAAAUGCCCUUGAAACCUUCAGCCAGGAUCAGGCGAGAUGAUGGGCUCUUACGUACAGCCCAAUAAUGGUCUGCUUAAUAAAACAGCCAGGCACGAAACCCCGACGGGCCAUAUGCCGACCGUUGACAGCCCUAAGGGUAGUAUUUGAAGUUGAAUCUGCUUGAAAGCCUGACAAGUAGAUAUGGCCCAUGAUCCAUUAACAUAAAUGGGCCUAAGAAACCUGAUUGUCGGCCCGGCCCAGUUGUAGCCUUGACUUAACCCAUAGAAGCGUUGGGAGGACAGUAGCAAUUUGUGUUUGUUGGGCAAGUUUCCUAUCUCCCUCGUAGGCUCCUGGUGCUCUCGGCUAAUGUCGAUAUGGAGUUUUGGGUGCCUUCGAGGGUGAUCGAGAGCUUGCUCCUCAUGAUUCGUGGCGGGCCUGGCAUUGAGUGGGCCAGCGUUAGUUUAGGCACUGAUUUUUAACUGAUUAGAUUCAAAAUUU